GGAAUAUUGCGCAAUGGGCGAAAGCCUGACGCAGCGACGCCGCGUGGGGGAUGAAGGUUUUCGGAUUGUAAACCCCUUUCGUGAGGAAAGAUAAAGUGGGUAACCACUUAGACGGUACCUCAAGAAGAAGCCACGGCUAACUUCGUGCCAGCAGCCGCGGUAAUACGAAGGUGGCGAGCGUUGUUCGGAUUUACUGGGCGUAAAGAGCACGUAGGUGGUUGGGUAAGCCUCUUGGGAAAUCUCCCGGCUUAACCGGGAAAGGUCGAGGGGAACUACUCAGCUAGAGGACGGGAGAGGAGCGCGGAAUUCCCGGUGUAGCGGUGAAAUGCGUAGAUAUCUGGAGGAAUACCGGUGGCGAAGGCGGCAUCCUGGACCGAGAUUGACACUGAUGAGCGAAAGCCAGGGGAGCAAA
rnacentral:rRNA from 1 species